CUGUGCCUUUAAGGAUCAUUUGCAGGGAGUCCGUUCUGACUAUUUAGGGCUGAGGAGCCUCAGGUGAGUGACACUCAAAACUAGAGUCAGAAGGUCGGCUCGGCACAGCGCUGGGAUGUGUGGAGGUCAGAGAAGCCUGUGAAGAGACAGGAAAAUCGCCUUCCCCCAUGCAGGUCUCUGCGGCUGGUGACCAUCUUCCCAGUGAACGCACAGACAGAACCCACAGCACAGUGCCCGGGGGAGUAGAGGAGACGGACAGGAUGACCCUGCAGUCCCUGACUUCAAAGCAUGGCCCCCGUCCCCACCCCUCCCACCAACCUGCAGACCAUGUUUACUCAGCCCAAUGGCAGCCUCGCCCCAUCGCCUGCUCCGGGGAAGCAUGUGUCUGCAGCCUUGGCUAUCUUCAAAGGGUUUUGUUUGGAUCAGCUGGAAGGACUUCAGCACCUUCAUCAAAUCCGGGUGAACAUUACAUUGUCCAGACUCCUCAGGCAGGUUUUGUUUACCCUGGGAUCGCCUCCAAGAUAUCAGCUGAUGGCUUCCAAUUCUUUUUAUGGUCUCACAUUUGGACAGACUCAGAUUUUCCUCCUUCAUCUUCCAAAGCUUCCCUAAGAUUUUCUCCCUUCGUUUGUUCAAGCGUUUUUGUAAAUGCUUUUCCCCACAUGACUUUCCCUGCAGACCGCUGGCUACGUAGCUUCCACCUAGUGCUGAGAAGUCCUGCUAUGGCAGGGACUAGCUGCAAAGGGCAGGUGGCAUGUUUUCUGAUGCUCCCUAGUUAUCCAUCCAUCUUUUCCCCUUUCACAGUGUGGAAGUUGGUGGGUUUUUUGGUGCAGACAUAGUGGAGGUAAACUAAUGGUUUCCUGAAGGAAAGUGGAGUGGGAAAUUUAUUUUUAAGGUGGGGGUUGCGGUUAACAGAGAUCCAAGUUCAGUCACCAAGUGCAGACUAGGAUAGCCUGAACCUCAGGGAAAAGUGUUGACACACAUAUACUUAGGGGACUUCCCUGGAGGUCUAGUGGUUAAGACCCUGUGCUUCAGAAGGACACAGGUUCAAUCCCUGGUCAGGUAACUAAGAUUUUGCAUGCUACUGGAAAACCACAUACACACACAUGUAUUUAAAAUACACACGUACAUUUGAUGGGCACCUACUGUGUCUAGCAUGGCUGGUAAUGAAGAUACAUAAGCCAUGGUCUUCACCCUCAAGAAGCCUACAGUCUGUUAAGACAAUGACAGUGGAGAAUGGUGAGUGCCGGGUAAAGGUGGGGGGGGGGAGGAGUCAAAGACAGGGAGAGUAGAACCAUUUGGGUUGCAUGCAUGUCCCCUGACAUGUGGCAAUGGGACCUAGAAAGCCAGUUUUAAAAAGCCUCAAAUCCCUGGGGCCCAAGGUCACAGGUGUCUUCCUGGUCAUUGAGAUUGAUUGGAUAGUCUCAUAUUUUUCUCCCAGCUGGACUCAAACCAAGAGUCAGAAAACCAGCCCCACACAAUACCCCUGCCUCACAUAUUGAUUACCUAUUGCUGUGUAAGAAAUUACUACAAAAUUACAUAUAGAGAAAAAAAUACUUACUAUGUUAAUACAAAGAAUGUUGCCUGUCAUCCACUUUUAUAAAGAUCAAGUCAUUAGCCACUACAAU